GAUGAAGAACGUAGCGAAAUGCGAUACGUAAUGUGAAUUGCAGAAUUCAGUGAAUCAUCGAAUCUUCGAACGCAUAUUGCGCUCUCUGGUAUUCCGGAGAGCAUGCUUGUUUGAGUAUCAGUAAACACCUCAACUUCCAUAUCUUUUUUGAAAUGGGAGUUGGACUUGAGUGAUCCCAACGCUUUUCCUCACCGAAAAGUGGCGGGUUACUUGAAAUGCAGGUGCAGCUGGACUUUUCUCUGAGCUAUAAGCAUAUCUAUUUAGUCUGCCUAAAAAACAGAUUAUUACCUUUGCUGCAGCUAACAUAAAGGAGAUUAGUUCUUGUGCUGACUGAUGCAGGAUUCACAAAGACAGGCUUCGGCCGACUUUGUAAACUCGAUCUCAAAUCAAGUAAGACUACCCGCUGAACUUAAGCAUAUCAAUAAGCGGAGGA
rnacentral:misc_RNA from 1 species